GUGACCUCGGAUCAGG
rnacentral:rRNA from 3 species